GCCUGUCUAGCUCAGUUGGUAGAGUGCAAGACUCUUAACCUUGUGGUUAUGGGAUCGAACCCCAUGGUGGGUG